rnacentral:rRNA from 1 species
CACCGCUAUUGGGAUACGCUUAAGCCAUGCGAGUCGAGAGUCUUCGGGACUCGGCUAACUGCUCAGUAACACGUGGACAAUCUACCCUUAGGUGGAAGAUAAUCUCGGGAAACUGAGAAUAAGAUUCCAUAGGUCUAGAAUGCUGGAAUGCUUUUAGACUGAAAGGCGACGCCUAAGGAUGAGUCUGUGGCCUAUCAGGUUGUAGUGAGUGUAACGUACUCACUAGCCUACGACGGGUACGGGCCUUGAGAGAGGUUGCCCGGAGAUGGGUUCUGAGACAUGAAUCCAGGCCCUACGGGGCGCAGCAGGCGCGAAAACUCCACAAUGCUGGCAACAGCGAUGGGGGAAUCCCAAGUGCCUAUGCUUUUGUGUAGGCUGUUCUCUUGUUUAAAAAACAAGAGGAGUAAGGGCUGGGUAAGACGGGUGCCAGCCGCCGCGGUAAUACCCGCAGCCCAAGUGGUGGUCGCUAUUAUUUGGCCUAAAACGUCCGUAGCCGGUCUGGUAAAUUCUUGGGUAAAUCGAAUAGCUCAACUAUUCGAAUUCCGGGAAGACUGCUAGACUUGGGACUGGGAGAGGUUAGAAGUACUUUCAGGGUAGGGGUGAAAUCCUGUAAUCCUGGAAGGACUACCAGUGGCGGAGGCGUCUAACUAGAACAGAUCCGACGGUAAGGGACGAAACCCUGGGUCGCAAACGGGAUUAGAUACCCCGGUAGUCCAGGGCAUAAACGCUGUAGGCUUGGUGUUGAGGAUCCUACGAGGAUGCUCAGUGCCGGAGAGAAGUUGUUAAGCCUACUGCCUGGGGAGUACGGUCGCAAGACUGAAAUUCGCAGGAGCGUGUUCCUGCGAACAGCAGACUUAAAGGAAUUGGCGGGGGAGCACCGCAACGGGUGGAGCGUGCGGUUUAAUUGGAUUCAACGCCGGAAAGCUCACCGGGGGCGACGGUUAGAUGAAGGCCAAGCUAAUGACUUUGCCAGAUUUUCCGAGAGGUGGUGCAUGGCCGUCGUCAGUUCGUACCGUAAGGCGUUCUGUUAAGUCAGAUAACGAACGAGACCCCCACCUUUAAUUGCGAUUGGUUUCUCCGGAAGCCAAGCACAUUAAAGGGACCGCUGGCGCUAAGUCAGAGGAAGGAGGGGGCUACGGUAGGUCAGUAUGCCCUGAAUCCCCCGGGCUACACGCGCGCUACAAGGGCCGAGACAAUGGGCUACGAUACCGAGAGGUAAAAUUAAUCCCGAAACUCGGUCAUAGUUCGAAUUGAGGACUGCAACUCGUCCUCAUGAAGCUGGAAUCCGUAGUAAUCGCGGGUCAAAAUCCCGCGGUGAAUAUGCCCCUGCUCCUUGCACACACCGCCCGUCAAACCAUCCGAGUUAGGUUUGAGUGAGGCUACAGUUUUUGCUGUGUUCGAACUCAUGCUUGGCAAGGAGGGUU